UUUUCACCAAUAAGCUAUUUUAUUGAGCACCUAUGCUGAGCGAAGGGGCUGGGAGGUAAGCAUGGAUGGGUAGGGCUAUAUUUUCUUCUCUGGCACACAAGUCAGUCUGAGGUUGAGGCUGAGGCUGGAUUUACCCCAGGCUGGUGGCUGAGCUGACACAGCCCAGGGAAAAGGGGGGUGGGGGAGGGAGGAGGGGUAUCUGUGGCUGUCCGGCUGGGGCACGGGAGGGGGCGUCAGAUGAUCAGCUCUCAGUCUGUGACAGGUUCCCUUUCUCCCAACAUCCGUUAGGUCUCCCCAGCCUCCAGCUGACUCCUCUGCCCUUCCUCUGGGGCUGGGCCUGCCCUGGAGGGGGCAGUUCAUUCCCAUCAGUUCCAGCAGAGCAGCCGGGACAAAAGCAAGCACCGUGUGUGGAGGUCAGGCUUGCAUCCCGGGCCUGGCGGGAAGCACUUCUCUCCCUGAGAAGGACAUGAGGGCAGCCCAGAUACCUAGAGGAAGGGGUCCGUGGGAGGCAAGCAUGAGCCAUGCCCUAGCCCCUCUUGCAAAAGAGAUCGCACAGGAUGGCCCGGGCGCCCAGGGUUAGGCACCCCUGCAAAGGGUUUCCAUUGUUGUUGAGAGAACCUGGCAGAGCCCAGGUGGUGACUCCUGGCCAGCUUUGGACAAACUUCCUCCGUGUUCCCCCAGGCAGAGCAGAGAGCCCGGCUGGCGGGCAGGCCCUCACCAAGCGCAGUGCCUACAGUGGAGUGGGUCUUGUCAGGAUUUCUUCCCUCCCUUCCCUCUCAGUGUCCUGGUAAUACGGCUAAUGACUGUAAUUAAUAGGCGCAAUGCAUUUCCAAUGGCCAGCUGGGUGGGCACGAAGCCCAGCUUGAGUCAGCAUGGGUAGGUAGACUGCUUAUUUAAUCACCCGCUUUCCAGCACCAUCCACAUACCGGCUCUGCCGGAAUAUAUAUAGAGAGCAGAGAGCAAUCUCCAGGAUAUAUAUAUAGACAGAGCUGAGACACAACUACUAUAUUUCUAGAUCUCUCCAACGCAGCUAUCUCCGGAUCCCUCCCGUGACGAACCUAGAGAGAGACAGGGAUCUUAACUGGGGCUUAGGUGGCCUGGGUUCUAUUCCUGGCUCUGACGCUGGCACCGCUGUGUCGCCCUAGGCGAGUGACUGUCCCUCUCUGGGCCUUCAUUUCCUCAUCUCAGUGCUCCAGGAAGUAAAUCAAAGUUUACCACUUAUAGUUCAAAGCUAAAGGGCUGAAAGGGCACUCGGAAGCCUGGCCUGACUAGGAAGAAAGGAGGGAGGGAGAGCGUGGGUUUCCUUGUAAUCAGUAAUUGCAAUGCAGACACUUCUUUGCUGCAGGAGGUGGGGCUCUAUCAAAGGGUCUCCCGACAAAGCAUCAAGCAUCGGGGAGGAAUCGGGCGGGCACGACCGAUCUGAUCUGGAGAAGGCACUCACGACUAAAACAAGCCCUGCAAGUAGCUUUGACCAUCACUCCCCUGCCCCCACCCUCGAGGUCUCAGGUCCCAAGGUGCAAAGAUCCUCUUCCCUUCCUCUCCUACGCCUGCCUGCGGUUAAAACCAGCAAAAAAAGUACCUCCUAAAGUGACUGUGCCUCCCUGGGGUCUUCGGGGAAAGAUGAGAACAUGCUGACUUUUUGUGCUCCCGGUAAGGGGGUUGGGGGAGGAAAGGAAGGUUGAAUUAAGGCACUCAGAGCUGGGUUACGGGCUGCAGCCUGGCUCCCAAGAGGUGUCUGAAAGCCAACUGCCUCACUGGCAGGCAGUGCCAGGUCCUUGUUUUUCAGGGCAGAGAGUAUAGCAAGCGGAGCCUGGCUAUUCUGCUCGGGUCUUUAAAGAUGCAAAGUGCCUGGGUGUCCUCCCUGUCUCGGCCAGGGCCCAGCAGGGUCUUUACUGCAAGGUGAUUGACUCCAAGCCCUGGAGGCAGCCUGGGCUCUGUCCAUGGCACACAGGUCCCUGGGCCAGUGGAGAGACCUGGGGCAGAGAGUCCCGUCCUGUGUCAUUGUCCCUCCUGCUGUGGGUCACCCUCCUCCCCUGCAGAUUCCCUCUGUUCAGACAGCAGGAACUUGGGGACCCCUUUUGCCCAGGCUGUGGUCUCUACUCUGAGCGUGCAUACACACACGCACACACACACACACACACCUGCCUUCAUCUCCCAUCUCUUCUCACUGAGCUGGGGAGCUCCCUGGAGAAGCCAGGUUCUUGAUCUGAUGAACCUUCUCUGGCUGUUUCUACCCGAGGGGAAAGGGGUCUGAAUGGCUGAAAUGGACAGAGUCCAGAGGACUCAGUGAAGCCAGUAGACCAGCACCUGGGGGCUCCCCACUCAUCUGUGCUCACUAUGGAGACUUCACCUCCCACUCUGCGGCUUUCCCCUCCAACCCAAUUGCCAUGCCUGUAGCCCAGGAGGCGCUAAGGAUUUGAGAAAGGGCCCCCAUAACCAGAAGAGGAAGGAAAAGGAGGGGGACGUGGGACCAAGUCUGCUCUCCCACGGUUGGCUGCAUUUAAUUGCAAGCUGUUGGCCCCGAUUUCUCUCCCAUCCUCCUCUCUGGCCUCUUCCCAGCUCAGGUCCAAGACAGUAUGGGGCCGCAGAGGAUCCUCAGCUUUGUGGGGGCCGUGCAGAAGCGCUACCAACCCUUAGAGCAGCAUCCGCAGCCACAGGGAGCUGCCCCAAACUCUCUUCUGACCUACUUCUCUCUUGGAGGACCCCACCGACACCCUCCAGGGUCCUCCAGUCUAGCAUCUUCAGCAAAAAUGGGGCAGCGGGUCAUCGACGGUGUGAAUGGUGGAAGAACCAAAGGAAAAGGGAUGCAGAGCUGGCUAGAAGCAAAGAUGGGGACAGGGCUCCAGGCUUGCAGAUCCCAAACUCCUAGGUGUCUCAAAUUCUGGCUGUGUCCUUCAUCGAAGUGGGGCGGCAGUGGGGGUGGGAAGGGUAGGGAGAUAUUUGCAAGUGUUGAGACAAGCCUGGAAUUCUCUGACAAACAAAAAGGAUAUAUUCCCUCCCCUGUUCUUUCUCCCCCCUCCCACCCAUCCCGUCCCCUCACCUCCCAAAGCCGAGUAGCUUCCAGCAAGGCACUCCCGUCUGCACCCCGCCCCACCCCCACCUCAGGUAAAGGGCCAAAAGAGAAAUGACCCAGAGAGGAGGGGUGCCCUCAGCCUGGAGAACAAUGCUAGCCCCCACACCCCCUCCCCAGCUCCCCUUAGCACCGCGCCUCAGUAAUUAAAAUAUGAAUUCACCUUCCCUCCCCGAGCCAUUCAUCACAGCGAAGGGAAGCAGCUGCGGCUUAGGAGACCGGAUUUGGGGGAUUAGCUCGGGCGGUGGAGCAGACACACCAGGAGAAAGAAUUAAAAAGGGAGUGAAUUGGGUUUUCUCUCCCCACCUCUUCCCCUCUCCCUCUCCCUGCAGCCGCCUUAGAGCCUCACACCCCACCCCUUCUCCCCAAGCCUGGCCUCGGCAGGUUUCUGGGAACUGUAGUCUCCAGCACUGUGUUGAUAAACAGGCGGGCCAAGGGUGGGUGGUGACACAAACUACAGAUCCCAGGCCUUCUUCCCGGAGUUGGCAGCUGCAAAGCUGGGCACAGGCCUCUAGUCUGGAAGAAGCCCAGUUCUCCUUGGAGAUUAACUCCUUCUUGGCCUGCAGGAGAUUGAGUUCCACCCUCUGGCUUACUAAGUGCCUGGAAUCUGGAGCCAAGGUCCUCUCUGCCUUCGAGGGCUUGCCCAGUCAGCCCCCCUGGUAUCCUGCUUGCCCAUCAAUGGAGAAAGAGGGGAGGCUCCCCCGCCUUUCAAAACUACAGGGGCCACCUCGCAUUUAC
rnacentral:lncRNA from 1 species